AUGGCAAAAAGCUCCAUCUCGUUGAUCCGUUGCAGGCAGGACGACAUUCCUCAAGUGACAGCCAUCCUCGGCUGCUCCAUCAAGGAAUUUCCUCUAACCUAUCUGGGGUUGCCGCUGUCCGUUACUCGGUUGCCCAAAUAUGCUCUUCAACCUCUUAUCGACAGAACUGCGGACUAUUUACCCACCUGGAAAGCUCGUUAUCUCCGUCGGGCCGGGAGACUUAUCCUAAUCAACUCAACUCUCACCGCAGCUUCCAUCUUCUUAAUGCUAGUGCUCGAUCUGCCGGUGUGGUUUAUCUCUUGCAUUAAUAAGAUCAUACGUGGUUUUUUCUGGUGUGGACAUGAUGAGGCCAAAGGUGGGAACUGCCUAAUCAACUGGAACCUUGUUUGCUCGCCUAAAGUGUAUGGUGGACUCGGGAUCCACAACCUUAGGUUACUGAACCAGGCACUUCUUCUCAAGUGGCGCUGGUUCGAAAAGGUUGCAGACGAGAAGCCCUGGCAUGGCCUUAACAUUAAACUGCCUGCUGAGGUUGACAUCAUCUUCAGUGCUGGAUUACAUUGCUUGCUUGGGAAUGGCAACACCAUCAGAUUCUGGACAUAUCCCUGGUUAAAUGGUGCUAGUUUUCAGCAACUCGCCCCGUCUCUGCUAAAGUUUGUUUGGCCUGUCGCCAUGUAA
rnacentral:rRNA from 1 species